AGAGCGAACGCUGGCGGCAGGCUUAACACAUGCAAGUCGAGCGCCGUAGCAAUACGGAGCGGCAGACGGGAGAGUAACACGUGGGAACGUACCCUUCGGUUCGGAACAACCCAGGGAAACUUGGGCUAAUACCGGAUACGUCCGUAAGGAGAAAGAUUCAUCGCCGAAGGAUCGGCCCGCGUCUGAUUAGCUAGUUGGUGGGGUAACGGCCCACCAAGGCGACGAUCAGUAGCUGGUCUGAGAGGAUGAUCAGCCUCACUGGGACUGAGACACGGCCCAGACUCCUACGGGAGGCAGCAGUGGGGAAUAUUGGACAAUGGGCGCAAGCCUGAUCCAGCAAUGCCGCGUGAGUGAUGAAGGCCUUAGGGUUGUAAAGCUCUUUUACCCGGGAAGAUAAUGACUGUACCGGGAGAAUAAGCCCGGCUAACUCCGUGCCAGCAGCCGC
rnacentral:rRNA from 1 species